rnacentral:ribozyme from 1 species
UGCCCAGCAACUCCUAUCCCUACCUCCUCGUGGUACUGGCCGGGGUACGAGUAACCUUAGGGAAGAUCUGGUAAUCAAUCCCGGUGGGAACUUUGGUCGUAUGCUGACAGGGAAGG